UGGUGGAAGAACUGAUACUAAAGCUGAAACUCCAGUACUUUGGCCACCUCAUGUGAAGAGUUGACUCAUUGGAAAAGACCCUGAUGCUGGGAGGGAUUGGGGGCAGGCGGAGAAGGGGACGACGGAGGAUGAGAUGGCUGGAUGGCAUCACCAACUCGAUGGACAGACGUAAAUGGGUAAAUAGACGGGGGAACUUACACAUCUGACACAAGGCCCUGGAGUGACACCCUACCGUGUGCAACAGACAGAGGGCCUGAGGAAAUUUGCAUACUUCAUUAUGCGAAUUUGAGCUGAAGCCCAGCUCCUCUCACGUUGGCAGUAGAGGAACAUGUCCUGCUUGCAAGAUCAGAGUCCUAAGGAGUGGCAGGUCGUGGGGAGACCUGUUUAUGGGAAGCCCAGAAACGGACAUACAUGGAAACUCUAAAGCCGGGUCACCCAAUUGCAAAGGAGGAGAGAUGGCCCAGUUCAGCCACAAGGACAAGGCUCAGAGCGCACACGUGGAGCUGAGCAGUGUUCCUUCCUGAAUGGCAGAGCUACGGUCACAUAUAAGAGUAUAAAUGACUUCAGGCUGCUGACAUGGCUGGGGGUAUCCAAGGCAGAGCGCCUGAUGCUCUCGGCUCCUCCACUCAGGUGGCUGAGACCGCUGAGUUUUGUGUCUGCCCAUGUGAGGUACAAGGGAGAGGUGAGUCCAUCCACUUAUCAUCACCUUUUGCAUGGCUUAUUUGCUGUUUCAAGAGCACGGCCAAGUAGGUGCCCUGAAUGCACACAGGCCUGUCCCUUGCGCUUGAUUCAUGAUGUGGCCUCCGGCAGGAUGCAGGUGUGGGGAGUUGGCAGUGGCAAGUCAGAGGUGUGGGAAACUCUCUCCAUAGAGAUAAACAUCUCUUGGCCCACUAGCGUAAUUACAGAGAUGCUUUGUGUGGAAGAAUCUGAGGAAGAAAUAAUAGCAAUAACAUUUUGGAAGCAGGAAAGCAAACCAAGGUAGAAUAACUGGCUGAACAGCCUUUCGAACCCAAUCCCAAGUAUGACUUGGAAACAGAUAGAGCAAAUGUUUCACUCCACAGACUCCUCAGAGGGAGGAAACUGGAGCUGCAGGAACUUCUGGGUCCAGCAAGCAGGAGUUGUGUGGUUAAUUGGGUGAGGACUACGAGAAGCACUGUCUGAGGAGUAGUCAGAAUAUGUAAGUGGGCUUCCCAGGUGGCUCAGUGGUAAAGAACCCGCCUGCCAAUGCAGGAGACACAGUUUUGAUCUUGGAUCGGGACGAUCCCCUGGAGAAGGAAAUGGCAACCCACUCCAGAAUUCUUGCCUGGGAAAUCCCACAGAGGAGCCUGGCCGGCUACAGUCCAUGGGGUCGCGAAGAGUAGGUCAUAACCUAGUGACUAGAACAACAAGAACAAACAACAACAAUAAAUGUAAAUAUAUGUUUAUAGAUGCAAACCAAGCUAGGAUUAUGUAAAUUACCUUGCGCUCACCAAAAGCAAUGUUUGCGCUUGGUAAACAAUCUAUGAGUAUCUACUGUUAAUGUCUUUUCUAGGUCCCUUAAGACCCUUUUGAUUCCACUAGGCACAUAUCCCUCUCUUGCAGUAGAAAUCUGGAGUUUCUUUCACUCUCUGCAGAGGGUAACAGAGUGGGUCUCUGGAUUGAGGGCCAAAAGACUGAAUAUGUGGAUUGUAGAACAGAAUGAUGGAGGACUCAUGCCAUUAAUUUAUAAAUUCAAGGACUUUCAACUCUUCUUGCCACUCAAGGUUCAGAACAUGCUGGCAGCCUGACCCACCUUUCAGGAAGGAACCUGGAAGAUUUUCCUCUAGGAGUCUGGGCAGCUCUGGGCUAUGUGGGAAACUGCCCACCCAGAUCUCCUACAAUAUGGUCAGGCUCCAUCCACACAGGCUGGACUGAUGAGGAAGUGCCAUCUGAGAUAGCUCUUGGGAGGUUUUAAGAGGGAAGUUAAAGAGCUGGGGUAGAAGGAAUAGUAUAACAAAUAUGCAGACACAGGAAAGGUGAGGCCUUGGAGAAAGGGGGUGAAUGGAACUGGGCCAGGGAGCAGGGCAGGAGUAGGGAGAAAUGGGAGAUGAGGUUGGAAAGGGUGUCUGGGAUCAACAGGUGUCUGACAAAGGGAUGAGUGAGCAGGAGCAACCGGGUUCAUCUGCAAGUCUGUGCUGGUUGUUGCCCUGGGGACCAGAUGGAAGAAGGCCCUUAAGACCAAGCUUAGGAGAUGAAAGCUAUUUUAGUAGAUAAUAAGGAGCCUGAUGAAAAGUUUGCAAACAGGAAAGUGACGUACAGAAUUGAGUUAGACUUGAAAGACGAAUUAAUUUAUGAGCCAGAUGCUGAGGAAGGCGAUGUGGGGCUACACCAAGGUUAACUGGGAAACUCUUGGAUGAAUCAGUGUCCAUAUUUAGAGGAUGAAGAAGAGAUCAGAGUACAAAACAGAAAUUGCUCAAAAAGGAAUUGAGCCCCUUGGACAGGAAACAAGAACUCUGAUGGAAUGCAGGAGAAAGGGUUGAGCAAGAGAGAGAGAAAGCAGCUGCCAGCACAUCGGAUGAAAACAAACACCUUGAACUCGACAGGAGACUUCAAAUGUUACUAAACUUUUUUGGCAGUUGUCUCUCCUUUAACCAGCCUAACAAGGAAUGCCAGGAAAGACUCAUUUCCCUUUUCCACUGAUGUGGUCUCUUUUCAGCUUUCCAACUGAAAACAGCCUCGUGGAAGCAUUAACUUGUUUGAAGCAGCUUACAAAUAGAGGAAGUUUGGGAAGUUGACUUUCCCAGCAAGUGUUUUGUCCUUGGAGAUUCUUUUCCCCUCAGCGUUCUGCAUGGGACUUCCCUGACAACGUAGGUGAUUACUAGGUCCAUCCUUCUGUGACGAGAGGUGGCAGUGCCAGCAAAGUAGCCCAUGAAGGAAACAGGAUCCUCCCCUCCAACUCAGAAGUUGUAUUUCCCCACCUGCCUGCAAACUUGAAAUUGAUCACCUUCUUUUUUCUCUGAAUAAAGGCAUGGAGGUCUUGGUUACAAGGGCAAAUAGUGGUUCGAAAAGGGAAACAAAAUGUUCAUUACUAACCAUUUACACCUUGGUUCAUGUAGCAGGGCCCAAAGGAAGGAAGGCGUCCCAGGAUAAAUAAUAAUUCAUACUGAUCACACUUGAGAGUAAAUUAAAGACAUGCACAGUCAUCAUCUUGAUCCUCAGAGUAACACUGAGGGCCUUGUAGGAGUAUCAUCUCCCUCUGACAGCUGAGGGAGUCAAGACUCGGAGAAGUUCAGUGACUUGCCCAAGAACACACAGGGAGCUGGCACUGGCAGAGCAGGUGUGGAGGUGGACAGUCUGGGGCACCCUUCCAGGGUUCUGUGAGGUGGCAGGACAUCCAGAGGACCUUGGGCACAACACCACCUUCUAGGGUUGAAGCCAUAUUGUUUGUUUAGUCCCUAAUUCAUGUCUGACUCUUUGUGACUCCAUGGACUGCAGCCCUCCAGUCUGCUCUGUCCAUGAGAUUUCCCAGGCAACAAUACUGGAGUGGAUUGCCAUUUCCUUCUCCAGGGGAUCGUCCUGAUCCAGGGAUUGAACCUGUGUCUCCUGCAUUAGCAGGUGGGUUCUUUACCACUGAGCCACCAGGGAAGCCCUGAAGCCACAUUAGGCUCCCAUAAAUUUCACUCACUGCCAAGGCCUCUUCCUUCUGAGUGAGAUAGAAAAAAGGGAAGAAGAGAAUCAUGGGCAGUAAAACCCAGACCACCCAUCAAUCCUGAAACCCACAUCUCCAUUCCAGUUCUUUGUUCCUCUGUGGGAGAAGGUUCUGGAGAGCCAGCCCUACAGUCACUACCCGCUCCAGAUUUCCCUCCAAGAGCCAAGAUUUCUGCCUGAAAACGGCCCUUUCUGGGAAUUCUGUCCUCCUGACAUGUGAUCACUUUAGUUCACAGUCCAAGGUCCCUGAGGUGCUCAGAGGUGGGAGUUGACUGCCAGUAGAACAGCCCACCAAGAUGGAUAAACACGGAGGUGGCUCCAGACAUUCUCCAGAAAGGACUUUGCCUCCCAAGCUCAGGUCCUGGAUGGACAUUCAUAGGAACUACAUCUGAAGGAGGCAAAAACACGGCCAUGACUCUGGAUUCAAAUAAUCCCAAAUAAGCUGCCGCUAUAACAAACCUUCCCAGGCUUCCCAAGUGGCACUAGUGGUAAAGAACCCGCCUGCCAAUGCAGGAGAUGUAAAAGACAUGCGUUUGAUCCCUGGGUCUAGAAGAUCUCUUGGAGGAAGGCAUGGCAACCCAAUCCAGUAUUCUUGCCUGGAGAAUUCCAUGGACAGAGGAGACUGGUGGGCUAUAGUCCGUAGUGUCACAAAGAGUUGGACGUGAUUGAAAGGACUUAGGCCACACACACAUGACAAACCUAGACAGCAUAGUGAAAAGCAGAGACAACACUUUGCCGACAAAGGUCCGUCUAGUCAAAGCUAUGGUUUUUCCAGUAGUCACGUAGGGAUGUGAGAACAGGACCACAAAGAGGGCUGAGUGCCAAAGAAUUGAUAGUUUUGAACAGUGAUGCUGGAGAAGACUCUUGAGAGUCCCUUGGACUUCAAGGAGAUCAAACCAGUCAAUCCUAAAGGAAAUCAACCCUGAAUAUUCUUUGGAAGGACUGUUGUUGAAGCUGAAGCUCCAAUACUUUGGCUACUUGAUUCAAAGAACCAAUUCAUUGGGAAAGACCCUGGUGCUGGGAACGACUGAGGGCAAGAGGAGAAGGGGGCGACAGAGUAUGAGAUGAUUAGAUGGCAUCAUUGACUCAGUGGACAUCAGUUUGAGCAAACUCUGGAGAUAAUGAAGGACAGGGAAGCCUGGUGUGCUGCAGUCCAUAGAGUCGCAAAGAGUCAGUCACGAUUUAACAACUGAACAACAGCAAUGAAGCCAGUGCUACCCUUCCUCAGGAUCCCCAUGGCAGAUCCUUUCAGAGAGGAAAAACCCAGCAAGAACAGCAGAUAACUUGCAGAAGCUUUGACCCAAUCCAAUGUGGAGCUCAGCAAGGCUGCACUCAUUGUCAAGGCCACAGGAAGGA
ensembl:lncRNA